rnacentral:rRNA from 1 species
AUUGAACGCUGGCGGCAGGCUUAACACAUGCAAGUCGAGCGAGCGGCGGACGUGCGAGAUGUGUCUGGGAAACUGCCUGGGGGAGGGGGAUAACUACGGGAAACGGUAGCUAAUACCGUAUACCAUCGGAUGUCCCCAUAUGGGAUUAGCUUGUAGGGGGGGUAAAGGCUCACCAGGGCGACGAUCCCUCGCUGGUCUGAGAGGAGGACCAGCAACACUGGAACUGAGAAACGGGCCAGACUCCUACGUGAGGCAGCAGUGGGGAAGAUUGCACAAUGGGCGAAAGCCUGAUGCAGACAUGCGGGGUGGGUGAAGAAGGCCUUCGGGUUGUAAAGUACUUUCAGCGGGGAGGCGUUACCCGCAGAAGAAGCACCGGCUAACUCCGUGCCAGCAGCCGCGGUAAUAC